CUUAACGCGAAGAACCUUACCAAAUCUUGACAUCCUUUGAAAACUCUAGAGAUAGAGCCUUCCCCUUCGGGGGACAAAGUGACAGGUGGUGCAUGGUUGUCGUCAGCUCGUGUCGUGAGAUGUUGGGUUAAGUCCCGCAACGAGCGCAACCCUUAAGCUUAGUUGCCAUCAUUAAGUUGGGCACUCUAGGUUGACUGCCGGUGACAAACCGGAGGAAGGUGGGGAUGACGUCAAAUCAUCAUGCCCCUUAUGAUUUGGGCUACACACGUGCUACAAUGGACAAUACAAAGGGCAGCUAAACCGCGAGGUCAUGCAAAUCCCAUAAAGUUGUUCUCAGUUCGGAUUGUAGUCUGCAACUCGACUACAUGAAGCUGGAAUCGCUAGUAAUCGUAGAUCAGCACCUAAAAAAUUC
rnacentral:rRNA from 1 species